CAACAAGGGCCAAAGUGGAGCUUCCUUUCUGGCUUUCUCAAGAGUUACACUUGAGACAAGCAGUAUCAAUUAAUCUUCCUGCCUGCUUCAAUCAAAAAACUAGAAAGCAAGUGCAGGCUGAUGUUGCAUAUGUGGAUUUGAAAAAGCGCUGCCCCUAUUUCUAUGAGUUUGGAUGCAAGGUUGCACCCGUGUGAGUAUAUCUCUGUCCACCUAUCCAUUACUUCUUCCAUAACUGAUACUACCUCCCAAGGGAAUCUUGAACUGCCUACUUUUCCCCUUUUCUUUAGUCCCCAGUUUGGCAUGUUACUUGAAUGGUCUAUUAGAAUCCAUUAUACGCCAUCUCUGCUCUUAAGCAAAGCAUAUGGGUUACAUGUUUGAUUUAGUAUUAAGUUUAGACUUUUGAGCAAUAUAUGUACUUUUUGAUUAAAUAGGAUUGGCGAUAGAACCAUUGGGUUGUUUCUCCUUUACGCUUUUAAAGGCAGGUACAAGGAUGUUCUGAGCAAGGCGCAUAGUGCAGCAUUUUCUGUAGCUCCCAAGUUCUUGCCACUUCUAACGAAAGAAGAAACUCACUUAUAUGAUGCAGCUCAGUCUUCAAUGACCGCGUACAAGAAAUGGCGGGUUGGUGGGCCCAGGUUCGAGAGAGCCGCAAUUUUGAAGAAGAGAAAAUCGAAUCGGUAGAUUCAAGCUCUGACUGUAUGAUUGAUCUUUUCCCCUAGGAAAACCAAAGCUGCACAGGUCUGACCUAGUAGGGAACAAAAAAACCUGAAGAAAGAGAUGGCUUUUGUGUUCGCCAGAUCAAUGUAAUGUAGCUUUUACCUUGUAGUCAAGUUAAACAAAAUAGAGAAACUAUUUCAAUGCCAUGAAAUGAAGAUGAGUUUACCUCCCUCCUGGAAGCUGGACAAUUUGACUGUUCCACUUUUUUUUCGUCUUUGGGUUAAUACGGAAUUUUAUUUUCUUUCAAGUUUUAUAAGAAAGAAGAUAGACUGAACUAAAAUUCACAUUGAUGGUCCAACAUGAAUCUGUUAGAAUUUCCCCUGCAGUUUUGUCUGCUUUCCAGAUAUGAAUU